rnacentral:rRNA from 1 species
CGUAAAGAGCUCGUAGGCGGUUUGUUGCGUCGGCUGUGAAAACCUGAGGCUCAACCUCAGGCCUGCAGUCGAUACGAGCAGACUAGAGUGUUGCAGGGGAGGCUGGAAUUCCUGGUGUAGCGGUGAAAUGCGCAGAUAUCAGGAGGAACACCGGUGGCGAAGGCGGGUCUCUGGGCAACAACUGACGCUGAGGAGCGAAAGCGUGGGGAGCGAACAGGAUUAGAUACCCUGGUAGUCCACGCCGUAAACGUUGGGCGCUAGGUGUGGGGCUCAUUCCACGAGUUCCGUGCCGCAGCUAACGCAUUAAGCGCCCCGCCUGGGGAGUACGGCCGCAAGGCUAAAACUCAAAGGAAUUGACGGGGGCCCGCACAAGCGGCGGAGCAUGUUGCUUAAUUCGAUGCAACGCGAAGAACCUUACCUAGGCUUGACAUGCACGGGAAAUCCUCCAGAGAUGGUGGGUCCGUAAGGGCCGUGCACAGGUGGUGCAUGGUUGUCGUCAGCUCGUGUCGUGAGAUGUUGGGUUAAGUCCCGCAACGAGCGCAACCCUCGUUCUAUGUUGCCAGCACGUCAUGGUGGGGACUCAUAGGAGACUGCCGGGGUCAACUCGGAGGAAGGUGGGGAUGACGUCAAAUCAUCAUGCCCCUUAUGUCUAGGGCUGCAAACAUGCUACAAUGGCCGGUACAAAGGGCUGCGAUACCGCGAGGUGGAGCGAAUCCCAAAAAGCCGGUCUCAGUCUCGCAUUGGGGUCUGCAACUCGACCCCAUGAAGUUGGAGUCGCUAGUAAUCGCAGAUCAGCAA